AAUGAACGCUGGCGGCGCGCCUAAUACAUGCAAGUCGAGCGAGAAGACGUAGCAAUACGUUUGUAAAGCGGCGAACGGGUGAGGAAUACAUGGGUAACCUACCCUCGAGUGGGGAAUAACUAGCCGAAAGGUUAGCUAAUACCGCGUACGCCCCUUGGACUUCGGUUCAGGGAGGAAAGCGAUACCGUGGGUAUCGCGCUCUUGGUUGGGCUCAUGUCCUAUCAGCUUGUUGGUGAGGAACGGCUCACCAAGGCUUCGACGGGUAGCUGGUCUGAGAGGACGAUCAGCCACACUGGCACUGCGACACGGGCCAGACUCCUACGGGAGGCAGCAGUAAGGAAUAUUGCGCAAUGGGCGAAAGCCUGACGCAGCGACGCCGCGUGGGGGA
rnacentral:rRNA from 1 species